CCUACGGGUGGCAGCAGUCGAGAAUCAUUCACAAUGGGGGAAACCCUGAUGGUGCGACGCCGCGUGGGGGAAUGAAGGUCUUCGGAUUGUAAACCCCUGUCAUGUGGGAGCAAAUUAAAAAGAUAGUACCACACGAGGAAGAGACGGCUAACUCUGUGCCAGCAGCCGCGGUAAUACAGAGGUCUCAAGCGUUGUUCGGAAUCACUGGGCGUAAAGCGUGCGUAGGCUGUUUCGUAAGUCGUGGGUGAAAGGCGCGGGCUCAACCCGCGGACGGCACAUGAUACUGCGAGACUAGAGUAAUGGAGGGGGAACCGGAAUUCUCGGUGUAGCAGUGAAAUGCGUAGAUAUCGAGAGGAACACUCGUGGCGAAGGCGGGUUCCUGGACAUUAACUGACGCUGAGGCACGAAGGCCAGGGGAGCGAAAGGGAUUAGAUACCCUUGUAGUC
rnacentral:rRNA from 1 species